GGGGAAGGGGCGUAGCACUCCUGGGUUUGGGACAGACGAGUCCUUUUGGAGCUUCCAGUUGGAGCUCGCGGGCUGCACAGGGAAGGCAGGCUCUCCCCGGGAGAACAGACUGACAGCGAGCAAGAUCCCUGGCCCAGGUGAGAGGAAGAUGAAGGUCCUGUUGGUGCUGACUAUGCUGUUUGCCUGCAGUGUGUUCACAGCGCACGGGAAGCACCCACGCCCAUUCACACCGGGACUCGAGGGAAGCACCGUAGGAAACCUGACUGCCCAUGGAUGCUACAGGGGAUGGGGCACCUCCAGGGCUUCGGUGGAUCGGUGCUGCCUGCUCCGAGCCUGCUGCUAUGCCAAGCUGGCAGCGCGGCGGUGCCGCGUGGGACCGGUCCAGCCCCUCUCUACGGCCCGGGCAGGGAUCCCCUCCUGCAGUGAGUG
rnacentral:lncRNA from 1 species